AAGGAUUUAGGUUAGUUUAAACCAAUAGCCUUCAAAGCUAUAAACAAAGGAGUCUUUAAGCCUUA
rnacentral:tRNA from 1 species